GGGGAUAUGGCGGAAUUGGUAGACGCUACGGRCUUAAAAUCCGUUGACUUUUUAAAUCGUGAGGGUUCAAGUCCCUCUAUCCCCA
rnacentral:tRNA from 1 species